UGGUGGAGUGAUUUGUCUGGUUAAUUCCGAUAACGAACGAGACCUCAGCCUGCUAAAUAGUAGGAUUAAUGUCCUAAUGGUUGAAGCGGUUGGUUUGUGGAGGGGUCUUUGAUCCUUUCAUGCCCGGCCGUGGAAGCUUGGACAAUUAGUUUAUACUUCUUAGAGGGACUAUUCAUGUUUAAUGUAUGGAAGUUUGAGGCAAUAACA
rnacentral:rRNA from 1 species